AUCAUCUGGAGUAACCCCUGAAGCUCAAAGUGGCAGCACACCUGGAGAGGCAGAGACUGCAUCCACUGGUUCAGGUACUACUGGACCAUCAGUGGAUAAAACAACCAGAGCCCCCAGCAGUGAAGUGACAUCACCUGAAGGGCACUCAGGCUCUACUGGAACUUCAGUUCCCAUCACCUCCACAGCUGGAAGUGCAGGCACCACAGCCCAACCGAGCCCUAGCUUCACCAGUCCUGGGGACACAGCAGAGACAGCUGGAGUGUCACCAGGUGGGACUACCACUAACAAUGGGAAUACAAGUGAGGCAGUCUUCCAAGAUGUUGGAACAGGAGGCCCUACUGCACCAACACCUAGCAAAGAGGAGGGCAGCACAUCCAGAGAACCCA